UAAUAACAUUCUUUUUCUAAUUCAAGGUCAUGUUACUUUUUCGCAUAAGUAAGAGGAAGUCUUAAGUUGGGAUGGCCAUGUGAUGUAAUGAUAGGUGCAGGAGAUGGAUUUGUAGUUUUGAUUUAUUGCAAGGAAGCCCAGAACCUUCAGAUUUAGGAUUCCCCAGUUGUGCCAAUUAUUAUCCAAAUAAACUUUUGAGAAGAUAUCUAUCUUGGAGUUAUUUAUUGGAAUGGAGGUUUGCUGGAAUGCUGACACAAUCUCUUUUAAAA